GUGCUCACUUUGGCAGCACAUAUACUAAAAUUGGAACAUUAUAGAAAAGAUUACACAAGGAUGAUGCACAAAUUCACGAAACAUUUCACAUUUUU
rnacentral:snRNA from 1 species